rnacentral:lncRNA from 1 species
CUUGAUUGUUACCCUGGCUUAAACCCGGGUUUUUUGUCUGCUGGAGAUAUUAAGCUGAAAUCAUUGUUAAACGUUUCCCAGAAAGGAAAACUGUGGGUUAAACAAAUUGUUUGUCGUAAUUCUGUUGGAUAAGGAGGUAAGAAAUUUAUAUAAGAUAUUAUUAAUUUUUAAGUUUCCUUUUUUCAUAAAAUUGCUAAAAUAUUAUUUUUUCCUGUUUUUGUUUUGACUAAAUAUUAUUUUUUCCUGUUUUUGUUUUGACUAAAAUAUUUUUUUUCCUGUUAUAGAAGGAACAAUUUU